rnacentral:lncRNA from 1 species
AUCAAUAAAAUCUGUUGCGGCAGUACAUGGCUUCUGAAGUGACGAGUAACAGUAAUCAUGCCAGGUUAAUCCAAGCUCAGUCCGUUGGUAUGCCCCAUGGCUGGAUUUGCUUGCUUUGCUGUGUACUGGAGGUGCUCAAUGAAAUCCGUCAGUUUGCUCUUGGUCUUGGAGGAUUACGGAAGAGGAUAUGUAGAUCCUUCCAAUCCCUAGCAAUGUACUAGAAGUUAUAAAUGGUGGUCAGUAUCAGGUAUCAUUUUUUUUCUGAAUCUAGGCAAUCAAAUAUAUCCUCUUGUAUAUAUCCAAUAAAAUUGACAGAGGAAGGCUUAGCUGCUAACCGUUAGGUGAAGUAAGGUUUGUUUCCUAUCUUAUGUAGUUUGUCGAAAAGAAAGGGCUUUCACCACCAUGAGUGUUCCACAAAAAUUAGACUUCAUGCUUGGUAAUACAUGAAGCUACAGUCUUUAUAGAUAUCCUUUAUAGAUCAAGGAUAUACAUUAUCAUCUGCAUUCAUCUGGUGUUUUUUUAUGACAGAUGGUUGUGGCUGAAACCAGACAUCUUCACUGAGAUUUAGAUGGACAGGAUAAGAGUGUCGAGAAAGCAUUGGAAUUCA